GACGAACGCUGGCGGCGUGCCUAAUACAUGCAAGUAGAACGCACAGUUUAUACCGUAGCUUGCUACACCAUAGACUGUGAGUUGCGAACGGGUGAGUAACGCGUAGGUAACCUGCCUGGUAGCGGGGGAUAACUAUUGGAAACGAUAGCUAAUACCGCAUAAUAUUAAUUAUUGCAUGAUAAUUAAUUGAAAGGUGCAAUUGCACCACUACCAGAUGGACCUGCGUUGUAUUAGCUAGUAGGUGAGGUAACGGCUCACCUAGGCGACGAUACAUAGCCGACCUGAGAGGGUGAUCGGCCACACUGGGACUGAGACACGGCCCAGACUCCUACGGGAGGCAGCAGUAGGGAAUCUUCGGCAAUGGACGAAAGUCUGACCGAGCAACGCCGCGGGAGUGAAGAAGGUUUUCGGAUCGUAAAGCUCUGUUGUAAGAGAAGAACGGGCGUGAGAGUGGAAAGUUCACACUGUGACGGUAUCUUACCAGAAAGGGACGGCUAACUACGUG
rnacentral:rRNA from 1 species